CACGUAGGGGGCGAGCGUUGUCCGGAAUCAUUGGGCGUAAAGAGCGUGUAGGCGGCUAGAUAGGUCCGUUGUGAAAACUCGAGGCUCAACCUCGAGACGUCGAUGGAAACCAUCUGGCUAGAGUUCGGUAGGGGAUCACGGAAUUCCUGGUGUAGCGGUGAAAUGACGCAGAGUAUCAGGAGGAACACCGGUGGCGAAGGCGGUGGUCUGGGCCGACACUGACGCUGUAGAGCGAAAGCGUGGGGAGCGAACAGG
rnacentral:rRNA from 1 species